rnacentral:rRNA from 1 species
UACGUAGGGGGCAAGCGUUGUCCGGAUUUAUUGGGCGUAAAGAGCGUGUAGGCGGCCAGAUAGGUCAGCUGUGAAAACUCGAGGCUCAACCUCGAGACGCCGGUUGAAACCAUCUGGCUAGAGUCCGGAAGAGGAGAGUGGAAUUCCGUGGUGUAGCGGUGAAAUGCGCAGAUAUCGGGAAGAACACCCGUGGCGAAGGCGGUUCUCUGGGACGGUACUGACGCUGAGACGCGAAAGCGUGGGGAGCGAACAGG